rnacentral:rRNA from 1 species
UCCAGACUCCUACGGAGGCAGCAGUGGGGGAUAUUGCACAAUGGGGGAAACCCUGAUGCAGCGACGCCGCGUGGGUGAAGAAGUAUUUCGGUAUGUAAAGCCCUAUCAGCAGGGAAGAAAGAAGACGGUACCUGACUAAGAAGCCCCGGCUAACUACGUGCCAGCAGCCGCGGUAAUACGUAGGGGGCGAGCGUUAUCCGGAUUCACUGGGUGUAAAGGGAGCGUAGACGGCCGUGCAAGCCAGGAGUGAAAGCCCGGGGCUCAACCCCCGAACUGCAUUUGAAACUGUUGGUCUUGAGUAUCGGAGAGGCAGGCGGAAUUCCUAGUGUAGCGGUGAAAUGCGUAGAUAUUAGGAGGAACACCAGUGGCGAAGGCGGCCUGCUGGACGACAACUGACGGUGAGGCGCGAAAGCGUGGGGAGCAAACAGGAUUAGAUACCCGUGUA